rnacentral:rRNA from 1 species
UACGUAGGGUGCGAGCGUUGUCCGGAAUUAUUGGGCGUAAAGAGCUCGUAGGCGGUCUGUCGCGUCGGUCGUGAAAACCUGCAGCUUAACUGUGGGCGUGCGGUCGAUACGGGCAUGACUGGAGUUCGGCAGGGGAGACUGGAAUUCCUGGUGUAGCGGUGAAAUGCGCAGAUAUCAGGAGGAACACCGGUGGCGAAGGCGGGUCUCUGGGCCGAUACUGACGCUGAGGAGCGAAAGCGUGGGGAGCGUACAGG